AUUGAACGCUGGCGGCAGGCCUAACACAUGCAAGUCGAGCGGUAGAGAGAAGCUUGCUUCUCUUGAGAGCGGCGGACGGGUGAGUAAUGCCUAGGAAUCUGCCUGGUAGUGGGGGAUAACGUUCGGAAACGGACGCUAAUACCGCAUACGUCCUACGGGAGAAAGCAGGGGACCUUCGGGCCUUGCGCUAUCAGAUGAGCCUAGGUCGGAUUAGCUAGUUGGUGGGGUAAUGGCCCACCAAGGCGACGAUCCGUAACUGGUCUGAGAGGAUGAUCAGUCACACUGGAACUGAGACACGGUCCAGACUCCUACGGGAGGCAGCAGUGGGGAAUAUUGGACAAUGGGCGAAAGCCUGAUCCAGCCAUGCCGCGUGUGUGAAGAAGGUCUUCGGAUUGUAAAGCACUUUAAGUUGGGAGGAAGGGCAGUAAAUUAAUACUUUGCUGUUUUGACGUUACCGACAGAAUAAGCACCGGCUAACUCUGUG
rnacentral:rRNA from 1 species